UUCUUAUCAAGAGAGGUGGAGGGACUGGCCCGAUGAAGCCCGGCAACCACCCCAGCAAAAGGGGAAAGGUGCCAAUUCCUGAUAGAUAAGAG
rnacentral:ncRNA from 2 species